rnacentral:rRNA from 1 species
GACGAACGCUGGCGGCGUGCUUAACACAUGCAAGUCGAACGGAAAGGCCCUGCUUUUGUGGGGUGCUCGAGUGGCGAACGGGUGAGUAACACGUGAGUAACCUGCCCUUGACUUUGGGAUAACUUCAGGAAACUGGGGCUAAUACCGGAUAGGAGCUCCUGCUGCAUGGUGGGGGUUGGAAAGUUUCGGCGGUUGGGGAUGGACUCGCGGCUUAUCAGCUUGUUGGUUGGGUAGUGGCUUACCAAGGCUUUGACGGGUAGCCGGCCUGAGAGGGUGACCGGCCACAUUGGGACAGAGAUACGGCCCAGACUCCUACGGGAGGCAGCAGUGGGGAAUAUUGCACAAUGGGCGGAAGCCUGAUGCAGCAACGCCGCGUGCGGGAUGACGGCCUUCGGGUUGUAAACCGCUUUCGCCUGUGACGAAGCGUGAGUGACGGUAAUGGGUAAAGAAGCACCGGCUAACUACGUG